rnacentral:pre_miRNA from 1 species
CAGGUUUCUCGAUAAGCGAAUAUACUGUUCUUUAACUGUUCGUUGUCGUUGAAACCUGAA